GUGGAUUCAAACAAUAUGCAGACCUUAAACCAUGCUCGUCACAGCAGGAGGCAAAGUCAUUGUGUUCCAGACACGGAAGGUUUACACCGACGAAGUUAGAUGCUCUUCACUCUGAUCGCUGUCACGCAGUUCGUCGUGUAAAGGAGAUGCAUGGGAUAUGUCUUCUAAUGUCUCCAAGGUCCGCCGUCCAAGGGUCUCCGGAAGAAGACCACACAAGCACCCAGAGGCACAAGCAAAGCCACUCAUCACAGCAAAUGGGAUCACGGGACUAGGUUGUUACUCGCGUAUGGUAGACGGCUGAAGAUCAGGACACCUUUCCUCUCGACACCUUUUCUGUUUCAUUUCAUAAACAAAGCCCGAAACAGGGGUCGCAGCCACCGAAAAGAAGGUAGGAUCUUUUCUUCAUUAAAGAAAAUGUAAAUAU